rfam:Rattus norvegicus chromosome 3, whole genome shotgun sequence.
GGGGAUUUCGCUCAGCGGUAGAGCGCUUGCCUAGCAAGCACAAGGCCCUGGGUUCGGUCCCCAGCUCCG